rnacentral:lncRNA from 1 species
UGGGUACACAUUCUUGAGCAUAUUUACUCAAUCUAACAAACUCUCUUUCAUACUCAGCCACAGACAUUCAGCCUUGCUUCAACUCGAGAAAUUCCUUGCGUUUUUGAUCGAUGAACCGUUGGCUUAUAUAUUUUUUUCUGGUUUCAUCAUGGAAGAAUUCCCACGUAACCCUUUCUUUCGGAACCACAGAUACCAAUAUUUUCCACCAACGAUACGUUGAAUCUUUUAACAAAGAUAUUGCACACUUUAAACAUUAUUCG